rnacentral:rRNA from 1 species
AUUGAACGCUGGCGGCAGGCCUAACACAUGCAAGUCGAGCGAGCGGAGGACGGGUGAGGACUGGAUGGGGACCCGCCCGAUAGAGGGGGAUAACUACUGGAAACGGUAGCUAAUACCGCAUAAUAUCGGAUGAACACAUGUGGGAUUAGCUAGUUGGUGAGGUAAUGGCUCACCAAGGCGACGAUCCAUAGCUGGUCUGAGAGGAUGAUCAGCCACACUGGGACUGAGACACGGCCCAGACUCCGACGGGAGGCAGCAGUGGGGAAUAUUGCACAAUGGGCGAAAGCCUGAUGCAGCCAUGCCGCGUGUGUGAAGAAGGCCCUAGGGUUGUAAAGUACUGUCAGUCGGGAGGCGUUACCGACAGAAGAAGCACCGGCUAACUCCGUGCCAGCAGCCGCGGUAAUUC